rnacentral:rRNA from 1 species
UACGUAGGGGGCAAGCGUUGUCCGGAAUCAUUGGGCGUAAAGCGCACGUAGGCGGCCCGGUAAGUCCGUUGUGAAAGUCAGAGGCUCAACCUCUGGAGGCCAAUGGAUACUGCCGGGCUAGAGUCCGGAAGAGGCGAGUGGAAUUCCCGGUGUAGCGGUGAAAUGCGCAGAUAUCGGGAGGAACACCAAUGGCGAAGGCAGCUCGCUGGGACGGUACUGACGCUGAGACGCGAAAGCGUGGGGAGCAAACAGG